GUGUGUUGUCUGUGUCUGUCUACAUGUCACUCAAGAGGAUCUAGGUCAAGGGGCGUGGCCACUCUCACCUGCUCUGCUCCAGCCAGCUGCAGCUCAUUCCAGUACUCAACCAACAGUUAUCUACCCGGGCUGUUCACCUCUUCAGCGCCAGUUCGUUGCAACCAUUCCUGUGAUCCCGCCUCUGGACCUGCUGCUUUUCGGUUCUCAUCUGCCUCCUCGCUGCCUGCUCACCUCGCAACUCCGUUCUCAACCAGCCUUUCCACCCAGCUCUCGUCUUCGCUGCCUGGCCACACACCCGCCGUCUGAUCUCCAGCUUCGACUCCACCUGGAGCUGCUCUCCUGGCCAUUCCCUCCUGCACUAUCCACAUUGUGUCCAAUAAAACACUGCUAACCGCU